CACGUAGGGCGCAAGCGUUGUCCGGAAUUAUUGGGCGUAAAGAGCUCGUAGGCGGUCUGUUACGUCUGCUGUGAAAACCCGGGGCUUAACCCUGGGCUUGCAGUGGAUACGGGCAGACUAGAGGCAGGUAGGGGAGAAUGGAAUUCCCGGUGUAGCGGUGAAGUGCGCAGAUAUCGGGAGGAACACCGGUGGCGAAGGCGGUUCUCUGGGCCUGACCUGACGCUGAGGAGCGAAAGCGUGGGGAGCGAACAGG
rnacentral:rRNA from 1 species